rnacentral:rRNA from 1 species
AGUGAACGCUGGCGGUAGGCCUAACACAUGCAAGUCGAACGGCAGCACAGUAAGAGCUUGCUCUUACGGGUGGCGAGUGGCGGACGGGUGAGGAAUACCUCGGAAUCUACUUUUUCGUGGGGGAUAACGUCGGGAAACUUACGCUAAUACCGCAUACGACCUACGGGUGAAAGCAGGGGAUCUUCGGCCCUUGCGCGAUUGAAUGAGCCGAUGUCGGAUUAGCUAGUUGGCGGGGUAAAGGCCCACCACGGCGACGAUCCGUAGCUGGACUGAGAGGAUGAUCAGCCACACUGGAACUGGGACACGGUCCAAACUCCUACGAGAGGCAGCAGUGGGGAAUAUUGGACAAUGGGCGCAAGCAUGAUCCAGCCAUACCGCGUGGGUGAAGAAGGCCUUCGGGUUGUAAAGACCUUUUGUUGGGAAAGAAAAGCAGCAGGUUAAUACCCCGCUGUUCUGACGGUACCCAAAGAAUAAGCACCGGCUAACUUCGUG